rnacentral:lncRNA from 1 species
GCCUAUACAGUCCAAUGUUAUUUUGAUCAAGCAUGGUUAAUGAUAUUUCUGCAUGACCAAGACAAUCAGUCCUUAUGUUCUAUGCAGAGAUAUGUCAAUUCUUCAAACUAUACACUCCAAAUCUCCUAUAUUGAGUGAUUCUUUGUAUUGAGUGAUUAAAAUGCUGGUGGUAGUCGUUGUGGCAUUUUCAUCAUUUUGAGAGCAAGGCUGGGGAGUUGUACCUACAGUUCAAGUUUAUUACAAUAAUUUGUGAGGAAGACACUAUUAUAUUUUGCUUAUAAUAUCAUUAGUAAUUUUCAUUAAAAUUUCCUUAUAAAUAUUUUCUUAUUUUCUUGUGGCACUUUCUCCGGCACAUAAGAUGACUUACUGUUUCCAUCAUCAAGAACUACCUCACACUCCUCCCAACAGGUCUCACAUCAGCGACAUGCUAAGAAAUACAACAAGGAGAAAGCCAACGGAAUCAUCACAUGUCUCUUUGCGCAAUGAAAUAACACACAUGUUAUCAUCUUGCAAAAUUUCUAUAUUUGACUUGCUGAAUUUUCAAUUUGAACAGUUUCCCAUUUUCGCGUACAUUCAAAUAGUAACAUAUGAGGUUUAUACUACUAGAAGGAUGAAGUAACACAACUGAAAUUUAUACUGCUGGAAGUACUAUCUCCACUUUGUACUAUAUUGCAGUCCUGCUCUCAAUUCUGAGAAUUCAUCGACAAUGUAAAUUUGAAGGUAAUCUUCAUUUUUUAAUUUAUUUCUUUGAUACUGUUUUCUAAAUUUAUUAUACGGAUUUUAGAAAGGCUUUUUUCCUAUAUUUAAAAGUGUUAAAUUUAUUCAUAAAAAUAAUAUUGAUCAAUAUGAUUCAUAGUAAAAUAUUUUUUCUGAUAAUAGUCUGUGCAGACGCGUGGGUUAUGUGGUACAAAUACCGACAUGGGCGGUCUAGGAUUAAGCAAAUUUUGUGUCGAGG